rnacentral:tRNA from 1 species
GGCCCCUUAGCUCAGUGGGUCAAGAGCAGGCGACUCAUAAUCGCUUGGUCGCUGGUUCAAAUCCAGCAGGGGCCA